rnacentral:lncRNA from 1 species
CUUUCAGUGAGUUAUCAGCACACAUUACAUUUUCAGUGCUUUUACAAAGAAAAAAGGUGAUCUGUUUCAUUAAACAUUGAAUUGGCUAAUUCUUGCUCUAAUGUGGCUUUAAUGUCGGGAGUCACUCCUAGCUUUAAUUGACAGUUGUUAAUAUAAAAGUGAAAGUGUAACGGUGCCAUAUGUUUUAUUCCAGUGGGUGUGAUGCACUGAGAAGUGAGUUUCUUUGGGCUAUAGGAUUUAGUCUGUGUUUGUAUUUUAUAAUUUGCAUAAAUUGAGCUGACUGAAAUAAGAUUUUGUUCCAGGUAUUCUAGGAUACAAUACAAGAUGAUGCAAAAUUGUGUUUAAAGCUCUUACGCUGUUU